AGUGAAGCGGCCAGAGCCCAAGAUGGUAAUCUCCAUUUAUGGCGAAUUGUAAUCUUGAGUGGCUAUGCUCAACGGGUUGCGACGCAGAAGUGCCCCCGAGCGGGCCGCCAAAGAGGGUGAGAGCCCCGUAUGUGGUGUCGUGACCUAACGAGCAGGUCUACAAAGAGUCGGGUUCUUUAGUAUUGGAGCCCUAAGCGGGAGAUAAACUUCUUCUAAGGCUAAAUAUAUGUGGGAAACCGAUAGCGAACAAGUACUGUGAAGGAAAGAUGAAAAGCACUUUGGAAAGAGAGUCAAAAGACCUGAAACCGUUGAGGAGGAAGCGGUAGAGAUGAAUUCUACAGCGAGUCCUUGGGGAGUCGGCCAAACCAUUGCAGGUGUGUCAUUCGUCAAAGGUGGCUGCUUGUAUAAGGGGAAGCCGAUGACUUGGGAUGCGUUGUGAGGCCGGAUGGAGUGACGUGGGCACAAAGGUGCUUCAGACCUGGUUUCCUUCGGGAGGCAGUCUGGGGAUACCGGUGCGUGCGUGGCUUGAGGGUGCUUUGUGCGAUCCGGUCAAAAUGGUCUUUACCGACUCGUCUUGAAACACGAACCAAGGAGUCUUACGUACACGCGAGUAUGUCGGUGGAGAAACUGGCAUGCGUAAUGAAAGUAAAAGAUGCCAAGCGCAAGCAGCAGCAUCGACCGACCAUGAUCCUCUGGAGAAAGGUUUGAGUAUGAGCGUGUCCUUAAGGACCCGAAAGAUGGUGAACUAUGCCUGCGUAGGG
rnacentral:rRNA from 1 species